rnacentral:rRNA from 1 species
UACGUAGGGUGCAAGCGUUGUCCGGAAUUAUUGGGCGUAAAGAGCUCGUAGGCGGUUUGUCGCGUCUGCUGUGAAGACCCGAGGCUCAACCUCGGGCCUGCAGUGGGUACGGGCAGACUAGAGUGCGGUAGGGGAGAUUGGAAUUCCUGGUGUAGCGGUGGAAUGCGCAGAUAUCAGGAGGAACACCAAUGGCGAAGGCAGAUCUCUGGGCCGUAACUGACGCUGAGGAGCGAAAGCAUGGGGAGCGAACAGG